GACGAACGCUGGCGGCGUGCUUAACACAUGCCAGUCGAACGGAAAGGCCCUGCUUGCAGGGUACUCGAGUGGCGAACGGGUGAGUAACACGUGGGUGAUCUGCCCUGCACUUCGGGAUAAGCCUGGGAAACUGGGUCUAAUACCGGAUAGGAGCCAUUUUUAGUGUGAUGGUUGGAAAGUUUUUUCGGUGUAGGAUGAGCUCGCGGCCUAUCAGCUUGUUGGUGGGGUAAUGGCCUACCAAGGCGGCGACGGGUAGCCGGCCUGAGAGGGUGGACGGCCACAUUGGGACUGAGAUACAGCCCAGACUCCUACGGGAGGCAGCAGUGGGGAAUAUUGCACAAUGGGCGCAAGCCUGAUGCAGCGACGCCGCGUGGGGGAUGACGGCCUUCGGGUUGUAAACUCCUUUCGCUAGGGACGAAGCUUUUGUGACGGUACCUAGAUAAGAAGCACCGGCUAACUACGUG
rnacentral:rRNA from 1 species